CAAAUUAGGAAAGAAGAAAAGACAUUUGUGGAAGGAAGCCUAGAGAACAGGAAGCCUAGGGUGGACUGGGUUCAAGCAGCAGGGGUGAGGAUCCUGGAGGGAUUGAACUGGAAGAUAUUCAGAUGCUUCUGAUCACAGAGAAAAUGGUGCUGACCUGUGAGAAGGAAUGGCAUGAUGCAUCAGUAGGAUCCAAGAAAACUGGGAAAAUGAUGUUAGCCCAUCAAAACCAGAAAAACCAAGAAGUCUGAGGAAAAUCAUACAACUAACAUUCCCAUUAGGACUGGAAAAAGGAGAUCAAGGCUACCUGAAGAAACUUCGAUCACAGCCUCAAUGACCAGAUUCCCACAUCUCUCAGGGUUCCUGUGUGACUCACUGCCUGAUGAAGAAACUCAGUUUCAGGUAGCCAGUAGAGCACAUGCUGAACACGUGAGUCUUGAAAGCAAAUAGCCUGAAUUCAAAUUCUGGCUCGCCAUUUACUGAGAAACC